rnacentral:rRNA from 1 species
GACGAACGCUGGCGGCGUGCUUAACACAUGCAAGUCGAACGGAAAGGCCCUGCUUUUGUGGGGUGCUCGAGUGGCGAACGGGUGAGUAACACGUGAGUAACCUGCCCUUGACUUUGGGAUAACUUAAGGAAACUGGGGCUAAUACCGGAUAGGAGCUCCUGCUGCAUGGUGGGGGUUGGAAAGUUUCGGCGGUUGGGGAUGGACUCGCGGCUUAUCAGCUUGUUGGUGGGGUAGUGGCUUACCAAGGCUUUGACGGGUAGCCGGCCUGAGAGGGUGACCGGCCACAUUGGGACUGAGAUGCGGCCCAGACUCCUACGGGAGGCAGGAGUGGGGAAUAUUGCACAAUGGGCGGAAGCCUGAUGCAGCAACGCCGCGUGCGGGAUGACGGCCUUCGGGUUGUAAACCGCUUUCGCCUGUGACGAAGCGUGGGUGACGGUAAUGGGUAAAGAAGCACCGGCUAACUACGU